CGGCAGGGGUACUUGGCAGCUGCCGCCCGGCCUGCGCCUGCGCGGAGCUGCUGCCGCGUAUGCGUGUCCCUCGGGUCUCCGGCCGCCGAGGGCCUGCUCUCCCACACUUACGGCCCCAAAGUAUCCUCCCCCGUGAGUCUGGAAGUUCAUGAAAGAAGGAACCAUUUCUGCAUCGAUCAGCGGGCUCUCUGAAAUCUGGCUGAUGGAGAGUUGUCUGAAGAAGGGUGACUGAAGAGUGUUCCUGGGAGCACUUUGUGGGCACAGGAAUACUGUUUGGCUGGGAGAGAAAUAAGCACUGACGGGCAUACAUCAUGAUCGUCAUCACAGACACGAGGAAGCUGAGGCUCAAGAGAGGUGAGGUAUGAUGCUCAAGAACACACAGCCAAAGUCCAAGUUCGGUUCUCCGGGCUCCAAAGGGGCGCCCUUGACACUCUGAGUAUAAGGAGAUGACGACUGGGGUGAGUGGCUGGGUGGUCAAGCUCCUCACCCCCGGAAACCCCCCAGGGUGCAAUUGUCCAGGCAAAGGUGUGGCGUUCGCUGGUCCAACUUGGCCCGCUGACUGAUAAACCUGACUGGAGUACACAGCAGAAAAGGAAAGGUUAAGAAAAAGGGCAAAGUAUCAAGAUCUUUCUCUGAAGAGAAGAAAGGCGUGCGUCCUCCUCCCCCCGCCGGCGGUGCGGCGCUGUGGUCCGGCGGGUGUUCGGUUGCCCUGCAGCUGCUGUUCGCCCCAUUCUAAGGUUGCAGCGCUAGACUCUGUUCACCUGACACUAUUGAAAAGCGGAGCGAGGGAACAGUGGCUUAUCACAAGGCACCGGAGGUCUCUGUUUCUGGCUGGGUUCUACUGUGCACUUGGCAUUCAGAACGCGCUUGUAGAUGGACUGCCAAAAUGCCAGAUUUUUUUUUUCUUCCCUUUCUUUCUUUUUUUUUUUUCAGUCCAAGGUAGGGUCAGAUUUUCUCUCCAUCCACCCUUCUCUCCCUCCCCCAAGGUAGUAAUCGCAUCACAGGAAACCUGAGCUCACUUGUUUUUUGCCGCCAGCUCCUAUUUGCCUGGAAAAUACAUUUGCUGGCGAAGACUCCGGGAGGAGCUGCAUCCUGAUUUAUUGCUCUUUCCCUGAGAAGGUUUUGCUUCUGAGAAUUCUAUUGUGUCAGAACCGAGAUGGGAUUUAAGUCUUGCUCUAAAGAGACUGCUUUUGGUAAUGGGAUUAAUACAGAGUAUAUUCUGGCCCCUCCAAGCACUGUGAUGUGGCAAUUUAUUAAAGAGAAAAAAGAGAAGGGAUAGUUGUUAAAUUGCUUUGCUUGGGACCUUAAAAUCCUGCCCUGAUCACAAUGAUGGGCAAACUCAAAGGGUCCACGCUGACGCACAGGUCUUCCCUGGAGCUCUGUGGCACACCCCGUCUCCUAACUCCCUCACACACACACAGUGGCAGGGAGCCUUGACAAAGGGAAAGGAGAGGAAUAGGUGUGUUUUAUCUUCAGUGACAAACAUCCUUCGUGCUUUGUGAAUGUGUGUUAAAUGAGUGAGCUGGGAUUUGGGAGAGUUGGCGAUGGUGGAAAUGGAAGCAAAAGGCUGAGAGAGAGUGAGAGAGAGAACAGAGGGCCACAGUGGGAUGACAAAGCUGAUGUCAUCACCUCCUUUCUUUUCUCCACCACCAAAAUCCUUUACAGUCCUGGUUUGCGAAAUGCGGAUGUACUUGAUAUGUUCAUUCAGAAGACGACCUUCCUCUGUGCUAAAAUGGUUGGGGAGUAUUUUUUUGGGGGGAGGGAGUAUUUUUAAUAGAACUUAAAUUUAUUUCUACUUUGGUAUUCUAAAAGGAACCAAAACCCAAUGAUACUUGAUUGUGAGACAAUCAUGUAGUCAAGUGCUGGGCAGCAAUGGCCCCAGCAGGAGUUUCUUCUUGUAGCUACCCCCGAGGGUUUGAAGAGGAAGGCUUUUAUCAUUCGCCAAGUCCAGAAACUGUAUUUUGGCAGAUAUGAAGGGAUGGGCAUUUUUGAUAAUAUACAGAAAGAUGAAAUAAGGAUUACCAUAGUUUUAAUUAUGAAAAUAACCUACAUCCUUUUGAAGGAACACAAAGUAAUAAGCAGUCAUGAUCAUAAUUUCUGAAUGUGUGGGGGUAGUUUCAUACAUUCCUAGUGGGGUUUAGACUUCACUCCUGAAUUUCAAUUUACUUGCAAAGUGUCAUUUUUCAUCUUCUAACUAAAUUGGGGAGCUGAAUAAUUUGAUACACAGUUGUAUCUAAAUACUUCCAUAGAGUGGGGGUAAAAAGAUUAAAAUGCAACUAGAAAAAAGAGAAUCUGAAAAGACCAAAUCCAUUAUGACACCUUGCUGCACAUUGCUCAUCAUGAUGCUUAAGCUAGAGAAGAUGGUUUGAGUUUUAGUAUGCUGAGAUCUAGAGGAACAUGAAGUGGAUCCAGAAUCUCUGUGGACAUCUUUAUACAACAAAGCAUACUUGGAAGCAUUCCUGGUAAGAUCCUGAGACACUGUAAGAUCUCCGAGGUCAAGGGCAUGUCUCUGUUGUUUGUAGCUCUAUUGAGGACACCUAACAGAGCCUUUUUACCCAGUAAGUACUCAAUAAAUAAUUGUUGAAUAAAAUGAAAAAGGAAAUCUGAGACCUUUACUGGGUGAAGUGCUGAUGAUUCAAUGUGAAUAAAAGUCGUGUUUCCAUUCUCACGCUAUGGUGCUGGUGUGGAGAAUUUCUUCGGAAUUAUUCCACAGGUGAGUUUUAUUUGCUGAGAAACUUUUUUUUUUCUGAAGUGAAUUACACCAAAUGAAUGCAAUUCUUUGAUUUUCUAUAGGCUGCAGUUAAAAAUGUCUAAUAUUUCUACUGUCAUUCUUACUUUAUUAAUAUAUUCUACCAUUUUUGAGAUACUUUCUGUGAAAAAUUUUGCAAUAAAAUUUGAUUCAUUGAUUAGGUUUUUUGGUCCAUAUUGAGUAUGCCAAUUUUGCUUUUUCUAUUUGUAAUUUUUGGAUCCCCUUCUGAUCUUUAUUUGCAGUGAGCCUAACUUUCCUGGGUCAGAUUGGAGAUUUCAUAAUGUAGCUGUUGCCAAUCUUAAUUUAUGCUCAUUGAUUCUACCAUUUGUUAUAAGUGAGUUAAGAGAUCAUUAGUGUGUUUUUACAUUCUAGCUAAUUUUUAAAAAGAUUUUAUUUAUUUGACAGAGAAAACGUGCGCUCAGGCACAAGCAGAGGAAAUGGCAGGGGUGGGGUGAGAUGGGGGGCUAAGUGGAUGCAUAGCAGACAUCCAGCUGAGUAGAGAGCCCGAUGCAAAGCUCCAUCCCAAGACCCCAGGAUCAUGAUUGGAGUUAAAGGCAGAAGGCAGACGCCCAGCCAACUGAGCCACCCAGGCACCUUCUUCUAGCUAAUUCUUGACAUAGUGUGGGAUGGCUAUUCUGUCUGGAAUUAGUCUCCCACAUUGUUAACACAGUUCUUCUGAUCACUUGUAUAUUCCAUUCUCUCUGUUAGCAGAACAGAGGAUCAACAUGUCCUAUAUAAUCUCUAACUUUAUUGCCUCCCAUCACACAUUAGGCAUCAUAAGUUCCAGCCAAAUGGUUUUUCCACUGAAUAUUGCUUUAACUUUUUGAUUCCUUUUGUUUAUAAGGGGUUUUGGUUAUGUAAAUUUUUCCAAUCUCUUUAGGUCUCUGUGGAGAUGUUUCUGAAUCUUCCAAUCAGAGAUAAAUUUUUUAAUAUCUUUAA